UACGUAGGGCGCAAGCGUUGUCCGGAAUUAUUGGGCGUAAAGAGCUCGUAGGCGGUUUGUCGCGUCUGCUGUGAAAACCUAAGGCUCAACCUUGGGCUUGCAGUGGGUACGGGCAGACUAGAGUGCGGUAGGGGUGACUGGAAUUCCUGGUGUAGCGGUGGAAUGCGCAGAUAUCAGGAGGAACACCAGUGGCGAAGGCGGUGCUCUGGGCCGGAACUGACGCUGAGGAGCGAAAGCGUGGGGAGCAAACAGG
rnacentral:rRNA from 1 species